UUUUAUACAAUAUAUAGGUAAACAUACAAAUGUAAUAAAAAUUAUUGUUCGCGAAUAUUCAAUUUGGAAUGCGAUUUUGUUAAUAAAAAAAAUACUUAUAACUUAUGCAAAACCCAAGAGAGGCAUUUAUAUUUAUUUCUUUUGCGUUCAUUUUCAAAUUCGCCGUGCAUAUAUUUUUGUGCAUGGCGCUUGAGAGGGCAUCACGUGACUAAAAACGACCAACCAACGACCUCGCUUCGGCCAUCUUGGCAUCUUCAUCUUGCCACCUUUGUAUUAUUUGUGCUUUUUAAGAAUAUUUUUUUAAUUCGGAUACUUUUAUAAUAGCUUUAAUAGUAUUAUUAACAUAGUGAAUAAAAUGGUGUCCUGUUUUUAACGCAGUUAGAGUAGCAGAAACAAAUGUAGAUAAAAAAAUCUGCAGGAAUAACGUUUCAAUUAUGACAGAAACUCAAAACAAAUGACUGUGAAUGAAAAGCCCUAUUAAAAGCUUUCCAGAAGAUCCUGCGAAGAAGACAUGAACUAUAGAUCAGAUUUGUUAAUAGAGGAGUAUGUUCAAAA
rnacentral:lncRNA from 1 species